rnacentral:rRNA from 1 species
UCCUACGGGGGGCAGCAGUGGGGAAUAUUGCACAAUGGGGGAAACCCUGAUGCAGCGACGCCGCGUGAGCGAAGAAGUAUUUCGGUAUGUAAAGCUCUAUCAGCAGGGAAGAAAAAAAUGACGGUACCUGAGUAAGAAGCACCGGCUAAAUACGUGCCAGCAGCCGCGGUAAUACGUAUGGUGCAAGCGUUAUCCGGAUUUACUGGGUGUAAAGGGGGCUAAGCCGCGGGGUU